rnacentral:rRNA from 1 species
GAGAGAGGGAGCCCAGAGAUGGAUUCUGAGACACGAAUCCAGGCCCUACGGGGCGCAGCAGUCGCGAAAACUUCACAAUGGGGGCAACCCCGAUGAGGGAACUCCUAGUGCUAUCGCUAUUUUGUGAUAGCUUUUCUUAAGCGUAGAUAACUUAAGGAAUAAGGGCUGGGUAAGACGGGUGCCAGCCGCCGCGGUAAUACCCGCAGCCCAAGUGGUGGUCGAUUUUAUUGAGUCUAAAACGUUCGUAGCCGGUUCAUUAAAUCCUUGGGUAAAUCGGGAAGCUUAACUUUCCGACUUCCGAGGAGACUGGUGAACUUGGGACCGGGAGAGGCAAGAGGUACUUCUGGGGUAGGGGUAAAAUCCUGUAAUCCUAGAAGGACCACCGGUGGCGAAGGCGUCUUGCUAGAACGGAUCCGACGGUGAGGGACGAAGCCCUGGGUCGCAAACGGGAUUAGAUACCCCGGUAGUCCAGGGUGUAAACGCUGCAGACUUGGUGUUGGAGACCCUUCGUGGGUGUUCAGUGCCGGAGAGAAGUUGUUAAGUCUGCUACUUGGGGAGUACGUCCGCAAGGAUGAAACUUAAAGGAAUUGGCGGGGGAGCACCGCAACGGGAGGAACGUGCGGUUUAAUUGGAUUCAACACCGGAAAACUCACCAGCGGCGACUAUUACACG